rnacentral:rRNA from 1 species
CAAUAGCGUAUAUUAAAGUUGUUGCAGUUAAAAGCUCGUAGUUGGAUUUCUGGCAGGAGCGACCGGUCGCACGCUAUGCGUGUGAACUUGUGUUGUCUCUGGCCAUCCUUGGGGAGAUCCCGUUUGGCAUUAAGUUGUCGGGCGGGGGAUACCCAUCGUUUACUGUGAAAAAUUAGAGUGUUCAAAGCAGGCUUAGGCCGUUGGAUACAUUAGCAUGGAAUAAUGAGAUAGGGCCACGACGGUCUAUUUUGUUGGUUUGCACGUUGUGGUAAUGAUUAACAGGAACGGUUGGGGGUAUUCGUAUUCAAUUGUCAGAGGUGAAAUUCUUGGAUUUAUGGAAGACGAACUACUGCGAAAGCAUUUGCCAAGGAUGUUUUCAUUGAUCAAGAACGAAAGUAUGGGGAUCGAAGAUGAUUAGAUACCAU